rnacentral:rRNA from 1 species
AUUGAACGCUGGCGGCAUGCCUUACACAUGCAAGUCGAACGGCAGCACGGGUGCUUGCCCCUGGUGGCGAGUGGCGAACGGGUGAGUAAUACAUCGGAACAUGUCCUGUAGUGGGGGAUAGCCCGGCGAAAGCCGGAUUAAUACCGCAUACGAUCCACGGAUGAAAGCGGGGGACCUUCGGGCCUCGCGCUAUAGGGUUGGCCGAUGGCUGAUUAGCUAGUUGGUGGGGUAAAGGCCUACCAAGGCGACGAUCAGUAGCUGGUCUGAGAGGACGACCAGCCACACUGGGACUGAGACACGGCCCAGACUCCUACGGGAGGCAGCAGUGGGGAAUUUUGGACAAUGGGCGAAAGCCUGAUCCAGCAAUGCCGCGUGUGUGAAGAAGGCCUUCGGGGUGGAAAGCACUUUUGUCCGGAAAGAAAUCCUUGACUCUAAUACAGUCGGGGGAUGACGGGACCGGAAGAAUAAGCACCGGCUAACUACG